rnacentral:tRNA from 1 species
CCGAAAGAGCACAUAAGGAGGAGAGGGGCGUGGUCCUAUGGAGUCUUCAAUGCUG